rnacentral:tRNA from 1 species
GCCGAGAUGGUGAAAUUGGUAGACACGCUAGCAUGAGGUGCUAGUGCUUUAUGUGUGAGGGUUCAAAUCCCUCUCUCGGCA